GCGUCGGUGGUGUAACGGUUAGCAUGGUUGCCUUCCAAGCAGUUGAUCCGGGUUCGACUCACGGCUGACGCA
rnacentral:tRNA from 1 species